rnacentral:rRNA from 1 species
AGGGAAUCUUCCACAAUGGGCGCAAGCCUGAUGGAGCAACACCGCGUGAGUGAAGAAGGGUUUCGGCUCGUAAAGCUCUGUUGUUGGAGAAGAACGUGCGUGUGAGUAACUGUUCACGCAGUGACGGUAUCCAUUCAGAACGUCCNGGCUCACUACGUGCCAGCAGCCGCGGUAAUACGUAGGUGGCAAACGUUAUCCGGAUUUAUUGGGCGUAAAGCGAGCGCAGGCGGUUGCUUAGGUCUGAUGUGAAAGCCUUCGGCUUAACCGAAGAAGUGCAUCGGAAACCGGGCGACUUGAGUGCAGAAGAGGACAGUGGAACUCCAUGUGUAGCGGUGGAAUGCGUAGAUAUAUGGAAGAACACCAGUGGCGAAGGCGGCUGUCUGGUCUGCAACUGACGCUGAGGCUCGAAAGCAUGGGUAGCGAACAGG